UUAGAUAAUAAUGGAUAAAGGGUAGGGGCAAAAAUAUUAAAAUAAUAAAUGGAAAGCGUCAAAUGCGCUUCACGCUUAUUAUAGCUAGCCAACACAAACAAAAAUUUUAGUGUUUGGAGAAGCAGCUUGCUUAGUGGCGGACGGGUGAGUAACGCGUGAACAAUCUGCCCUGUACAAAGGAAUAGCCUCGGGAAACCGGGAUUAAAACCGUAUGACACUUUAGUAUCGCAUGAUAAGAAAGUCAAAUCGAUUAGAGGUAUGGGAUGAGUUCGCGUCUGAUUAGCUGGUUGGCGGGGUAACGGCCCACCAAGGCGACGAUCAGUAGCCGGCCUGAGAGGGUGAACGGUCACACUGGAACUGAGACACGGUCCAGACUCCUACGGGAGGCAGCAGUGGGGAAUAUUGCACAAUGGAGGGAACUCUGAUGCAGCGACGCCGCGUGAGUGAAGAAGGUCUUCGGAUCGUAAAACUCUGUCCUUGGUGAAGAAAAGGACGGUAGCCAAGGAGGAAGCCCCGGCUAACUACGUG
rnacentral:rRNA from 1 species